rnacentral:rRNA from 1 species
ACGGGGGUAGACAACAGGGAUUACCUCAGUAACGGCGAGUGAAGCGGUAACAGCUCAAAUUUGAAAUCUGGCCCCCUCCGGGGCCCGAGUUGUAAUUUGUAGAAGAUGCUUCGGGUGCGGCUCUGGUCUAAGUUCCUUGGAACAGGACGUCAUAGAGGGUGAGAAUCCCGUACGUGACCGGUGGCCUGCGCCCGUGUGAAGCUCUUUCGACGAGUCGAGUUGUUUGGGAAUGCAGCUCUAAAUGGGUGGUAAAUUUCAUCUAAAGCUAAAUAUUGGCCAGAGACCGAUAGCGCACAAGUAGAGUGAUCGAAAGAUGAAAAGCACUUUGGAAAGAGAGUUAAACAGUACGUGAAAUUGUUGAAAGGGAAGCGCUUGCAACCAGACUCGCGCCCCGUCGAUCAUCCGGUGUUCUCACCGGUGCACUCGGCGGGGCUCGGGCCAGCAUCAGUUUGGGUGGUGGGAUAAAGGCCUUGGGAACGUAGCUUCUUUCGGGGAGUGUUAUAGCCCUCGGUGCAAUGCCGCCUACCCGGACUGAGGACCGCGCUUCGGCUAGGAUGCUGGCGUAAUGGUUGUAAGCGACCCGUCUUGAAACACGGACCAAGGAGUCUAACACCUAUGCGAGUGUUUGGGUGUCAAACCCAUACGCGUAAUGAAAGUGAACGGAGGUGAGAACCCGUUAGGGUGCAUCAUCGACCGAUCCUGAUGUCUUCGGAUGGAUUUGAGUAAGAGCAUAGUUGUUGGGACCCGAAAGAUGGUGAACUAUGCCUAAAUAGGGUGAAGCCAGAGGAAACUCUGGUGGAGGCUCGCAGCGGUUCUGACGUGCAAAUCGAUCGUCAAAUUUGGGUAUAGGGGCGAAAGACUAAUCGAACCAUCUAGUAGCUGGUUCCUGCCGAAUCCUCCCCCUCAGGGA